UUGGAGGGCAAGUCUGGUGCCAGCAGCCGCGGUAAUUCCAGCUCCAAUAGCGUAUAUUAAAGUUGUUGCAGUUAAAAAGCUCGUAGUUGAAUUUCGGGAUCAGACUGUCGGUCGUGCCUCGGUACGCACUGGCAUUAUUGGUUCCUACCUUCUGAAGAACCGCGAUGUCAUUAAUUUGGUGUCGCGGGGAAUCAGGACUGUUACUUUGAAAAAAUUAGAGUGUUUAAAGCAGGCUUACGCUUGAAUACAUUAGCAUGGAAUAAUGAAAUAGGACGUUUGAUUCUAUUUUGUUGGUUUCUAGGAUCGACGUAAUGAUUAAUAGGGAUAGUUGGGGGCAUUAGUAUUCAAUUGUCAGAGGUGAAAUUCUUGGAUUUAUUGAAGACUAACUACUGCGAAAGCAUUUGCCAAGGAUGCUUUCAUUAAUCAAGAACGAAAGUUAGGGGAUCGAAGACGAUCAGAUACCGUCGUAGUCUUAACCAUAAACUAUGCCGACUAGGGAUCGGAUGAUGUUAAUUUUAUAAUGACUCAUUCGGCGCCUUACGGGAAAC
rnacentral:rRNA from 1 species